ensembl:misc_RNA Metazoa_SRP Metazoan signal recognition particle RNA
GCUUGAAGCGGUGGCGCGUGCCUGUGGUCCCAGCUACUCGGGAGGCUGAGGUGAGAGGAUCGCUUGAGCCCAGGAGUUCUGGGCUGCAGUGUGCUAUGCCGAUCUGGUGUCCACACUAAGUUAGGCAUCAAUAUGGUGACCUCCCAGGAGUGGGGGACCACCCUGUUGCCUAAGGAGGGGUGAAGCCCAGGUCAGAAACGGAGCAGGUCAGAACUCCCGUGCUGAUCCAUAAUGGGAUCCCGCCUGUGAAUAGCCAGUGCACCCCUGCCUGGGCAACAUAGCGAGACCCUGUCUCUA